rnacentral:lncRNA from 1 species
CCUAGGUGCCCAGAAUGCCCACCUGUCUCUGUCUGAUGGAGGGACACUAAGUCUGGUAGAGACCAGGCACAUCUGAGGCAGGUCCUCUGUAGCCCUUGACAAGAAGUUUGCCAGCCUUCACCUGGUUAGGAAAGGCCACUCGGUCACAAAACUUUGUGGUGCACGUCAUGCGUGAGGCUGUUUUGGGUUACAGCAGAAGCUCUCCCAGUCUUUGGUCUCCAAGACCUUUAUAAUCCUGAAAAUCACUGAGGGCCCCCAAGAGCUUGUGUGGAGUUCAAGUCAUAUCUGUUGCUAUUUGUCAUAUCAGAAAUUAAACUAUGAGUGUGUAAAAUAUUUAUUUAGUAGUUAGUUGAAAAUAACAUAAUGAACCCAUUACAUGAUAAUAAGGAAUGCAUUUUUGUAAAAAAAAAAACAAAACUAUUUUUUAAAAUCCAUAGCAGCUGAGAAGACCGAAAUUGACUGAUAUUUUUUCAACCCUCUUUACAGUCUGUGGUGGAUUCUCUGAUGGCUCUCAUGUUCACUCUGCUGACACCCUGCCCAGGCUGCACACGGCCUCCCGGGAAAUCCACCAUGUACCCAUGAGACCAUGAGAGUACCCUGAGCUAGGGGAUGAGGAGCUACUGUGACAUGCCACCUGUGGUCCUGGGAAGGACCAGGUAGUCUCCUCCCAUACCUGCUUUUGUUAAAAGCAGAAGGGCAGCCUGGAUACUCAACCUGAGCCCCAGAGGAAGCCCAGACUGCUCUGAGCGCACAGCCAGGUCUGUGAUGAGCUUGCGGCACCCCCAGCUCCAUCGGUCGGGCAGGUAAGAGCACCAGCCCACAAUCACUGACCAUCACUAAGCACCCAGCACCAUUUCAAGCACCUGGAACACAGAGUGCUAACUGCAUACCCUGGUGUCUGCCUUCCUCCUCUUCUUUAAUUAUAGAGCCCAUGGGCUUAUGCUGGUCCCUGGCUUCCUGGGACUGACCCCAUGUCUACAACCUCCCUUGCACUUAGGUGCAGCCAUGAGACCAAGUUCUAGCCAGAAUUGGGGUACAGAAGGAGCCGUUUGCCUUUGCUUUCUCCUCCCCUAACUAUCCCAAGGUCAUGGACCUGAGGAGGGGUAUGGCCCAGAUUCCAGCCCAGCCAAUUGGAGUUCACAGCCUGCGCUUUACCAGCUGCCUCUCCCUGUGCAAUCCUGCCACACACAACUGGCCCUCUCCAUUGUGGGGGCUGAUUUGCUGGCUUCGUUUACUAUUUAUAAAAACCUGUUGCUGUUUGAUAUCAGCUCCCAGGAGAGAGCCACUGAGUGGCCAACUACAAAAUGGGACAGAUAUUAAGCCCUUUUAUUCUCAGCUCCUCUGAACUUAUAGAUGUAUAGACACACAUGCACACAUGCACAUGUACAUACACACACACACACACAUACACACACAUACACACACAGAUGGUUAUGCAUUCAACUCACUCAAGAUGAGAGGUCAAGUGCCUACCUCGCUUGCCAGAAAUUGGCUUUUACUCCAUCUCCACACGAUCAUGGUCCUGACCCUCUGGUAUUCGCUGUAAUAGAAAUCAUGUCAAGAAUCAACUAUUUACAGUGCUUGUGUUGCGUCCAGGGGAAACAUCAUUCAUUGGCCAUUGGGAGUCCCAUAUUUAUUUUCCCCAAAGCAAAAAUGAGGUGGAAUUUCUUGUCCCCAGUGAAGUAGCUUCUCACAGCUGGGCCACCAAGUGGUGCCCUUCUUGGACAGGACACCCAGCCAGCCCUGAGUGAGGACAUGGCCAGCACAUGCUGCAGACCACGGCACUAGUCAGGCUGGACAGGGGUACCCUGCAAUGACCAACUCACCCUCAAAAAAUUCAGAGCCUGAACGUGACAGUGGUGUGUGGGUCAGGGUCUGCAGGACGGUCAAGGGAGCUGUGCUCUGUGCCAUUCAGGAGCUGACAGCAGCCCCUGAGUCUUCCAGCUAUAUACUCUGGAAUAUCUCACCUCCACCAUUAGUGUGGAAGACAAAGAGGGCACUUGGAUAUCCGCCCCCCAACCUGGAAGUAGAGCACAUCACUUCCUCUCAUGGCUCUUUGGUCAGACCUCAUCAUUUGACCUCAUCUAUCUAAAAGGGACAGAAAAUAAGUGGUGGUAGGUAAUAUAUUUGGGGAUCAGGAAGUGCUUCUGCCACUGCCGGUCGGCAGAAACUUCUAGACCAUGAGAGCUAAAGCAACCUUCCUAGUCCUUGGUGGGGACGAGUGGGAAAUUCUAAGCUUCAAUUAAGGAGAAAGCACAGAUGCCUAAGGACUUCCAGGUGCAUCUCUUCCCAAUAAAAAAAAAAAAGGCUAAGGUCUUGAUAAAUGGUUGAUGGAUGAGGAGCACGGGCCAAGCAGGGCUGGAGAACUGGGAGGCCAUCAUAAUUGAUAAGCAGUAGAAAUGAUCCUAUGACUUCAUGGCAAGAUCAGAGUGAAUUGAGCACUCUCACUGGAGCCCUGAGGCCCCACACAAGUACUCUGGCUGCUCCAAAGCAGCCAUGUUGUGAGGAAGCCCACAUCCCCUGUGGAGAAGCCACAUGAACACCAGGAACAAGAGAUUUCCCAGCCAGCCCCAGAGGCAGCAGCCCUCCCUUCUCCCAGUUCUAGCCAUUGUCUGAACUGCAACUGCACGAGAGACCUAGAACCAUCCACGCAAGCCCUUUGCAAUUUCCUGUCUCACGGAAACUGUGAGAGAUAAUAAAAUGACACUUGCUUUAAGCAUAGCCAGUGGCGUGCUGGUCAAUUUUUAUUUAAUGUAAGGAUGUCCAGGAAAAAAAUAAAAAGCAACCCUGAUUUGUAGUGUUUACCUAUUUCUGUGGUAUCAAUACUCCCACAAAGGCCAAUCUCCAGCUACCAACGAGGUGAAUAGAAUUGGAACGAGAGGCACACCAUGGCUCUCACAUCCCUGGGGGAGCUCUAGAGCAAACCCUGGAAGAGAACAGUCCAGAGCUAAGGGAUCUCCUGAUAGGUUCCGGAGCUCCUUCCCAGUUUACAGGAUGGGGCCAGAGCCAGCAUCUGCUAAGACUGCUGGAGCACACCGUGCCAAGGUUGAGACCGAGGCCCUCUGGCUUCCUGGUGGACACCCAGAGCAUGGCACCUCUGUCGACCCUGAGGCCCUAAUUUGAUAGUAUCUUCUUAUCACUUCUGACAGGUGGGUAUGCAGACAGCUGUGGGCAAUUAAGCCAUAGCCCCUUGGGGUGUUGAAGACCAUCUAGGUCUAGGCUGGGAAGCCUGCCCUGAAGGAUCUGGCCAGUGCCCUUCCCCAAGAAGCCUGGGGAGUGUGGGGCCUGCUGUGAGAACGAGGUCCUGUUUCCAAGGAGACAAGACUCACCACCCACCAACUAGGAGAAACAUCUAUCUGGCCCGCACCAACAGGACCCAUAGGAAAGAUCAGGAGAAUGGCUCUGUCAUUUUCCAAAUUAAUAAAUUUUAUUAUGGGACAAAUGAACUCAUCAGAAGAGAAAAUUAAAAUUACAUCCAAUCCCCACUAAACGCACUGAAAAUUUUUGGAUAUUUUGUUCAGUCUUUUGCAAUAGACAGCAUAAAUCCCUUGUACAUCCCACAUCUUUCAUUAGUAUUCCGUUGUCUCAUGCCCGCAUAUCCUUAGAUCUUACAAAAAAUAACGACUGCAUAAUAUUCUAUCAUUUGGUAUUACUACUGAAGACUAGAUGGGUAGACUGUUUCCUGACAUUUUAAAGUGACCCCCCAAAUGGAUAGCCCUGUGUUCUUGUCUUAUUGUAGAGCAUUUGUAGAAAGGGGAAGACAUGAUAUUGGGAUGGGGCAUCUUUAAGGCUCUGGGUGAACAUUUUUGUUUCCCAGUGUCUGUCUGUGUGAACUCCUACCAGCAAUGGGCAAGGGAACAUAUCUUAUAGGAAUUUGAUGGGCAAAAUGAAUUUUCAUGGUUGAUUUGAUUUAUAUUUUUACAAUACAUUUAAAUAUUUUUUACAUAUUUCUUGAACAUUUAUGUUUUUGUCAUUAAUCACUUUUGCCUAUCUUAACAUUGUUAUCUCUUUCUUCACUUUGCAGUCACCUUUACAUAAACAUAAGAUUAAUUCUUUGUGAAAUUUGUCAUAAACAUCAUCUUAGUGUUGCUGAUAUCUAGACACAUGAAUAUUUCUGUGGUCAAACUCAAUAAUCGUUUACUUUUAAGUCUGUUUCUAAAGUCCCCCUCUCAGGAUCUGAAGUUUACCUGUGUCUUCCACUUUUAUGCUACUUUUUGCAUAUAACAGCUAAAUACAUGUGGAAUUUAUUUUGGUAUACGGGAAAAGCUAAGGAUUAGCUCUAAUUUUUUCCACAUGGUUGGUCCUAACAUCAUUUAUUGACUAAUCUCCUUUUCCUCAUGGAUCUUUACCAUGUACUAAUUUUUUAUCUAUAUCAUCUCUAUUAGGGCCUGUGUUUCAGACAUUUGUUAUAUUGACCCAUCUGUUCAUGGUUUAAUUUGGCAUUGAAGUUUUAUAAUACGUUUUAUUUUUCUUCUUUCUCCCCAGUGAUAUAAUACUUUUAACAUACUUUCUCAAAAUAUUCUGGACUGUAUCAAGCUACCAAAAUUUUCUUAAAAGGAAUAAUCCAGGCUACUAUCGGCAUGGUCCGAAUAUAAUUCUUGUUGACCUGAGCAGUGACUUACCAGGUUUACAACUUUCUUCUGGAAACUGUUCUUUAGAUACCUGUCCCCUUACUCUCACCCCACUCAUACUGGCCUCAAUAAAUCAAUUUGCAUUGUCACCCUCUUCUUAGGAAGGGAAUUAUUUGCUAGUGGCCAGAAAUCAGAAAGUUUCAACCAGUCACCUUCAUUGCAUGGAGGCAGGGGAAUUCCCAUUAAGGAGACUAGUAGCUGCUCAUUAAAGAGCUCUCAGCACUGGUACAAGCCCUACUUGUAACUUCAUCACUGAAUUACCCUGGGUGUGCUGCUGUACCACCCUGGAACUCUGCCGCACCAUCUGCAAAACGAGGCUUCCAGACUGGACACCCUCCCAACUCUACCACAGUACCCCUGGUGGCUGGCAGCCCCUUCCAAAUCCUGCAAUGAAAUCUUCUGGUUCUGCUUUUGUUUCCCUUCAACCAGAAUUUGUCAGAACUCUUCAGUGGCACCAGGUUCAGACAGCUCUGUGUUCUCCUGAGCCUUCUUGCUGUGUGAACAGUCCUUUCAAGAUACCUGGGAUAAAAGUGUCCCCAGUGCAUGAAAGCAGAUAAAAAGCAACGUCUGUACGGUAGAAGGAAGUUGGGCUUUUCUUCCUUCCCUUCCUCUCAUUAGUUUAACUUCUGACCGAUUUAAACAUUUGUUACACUUUCCCUGGAAAAUUAAAAGUUUAAUUUGGAAAGCAGUCAUGGAGUAAAAAAUCUGUACGAUGCAAAAUAUGGUCGCUAAUGAGUGGCACUGAUUUAACAGGACAUAAGGAAGAAAAAUAACAAAUUUUGGAAGAAAGUAAGCAAUUUCACAAUGUUUCCACUUGUUUCAAAUCCAACUUGCUUCCAUUGCUUCAAGGGUUAGCUUGGAAAUUUUUCUCAUGAAAGCGCAGUAAAUGUUCCCGAAGACAGUUUAUUUUCUGGGCUUGGAAUUAAUGGGUAGAAAUGACAAAUUUCCUAGAACAACUUCUGGGAAAUUUGUGUUGAUGGUUGCUUCUGAGUUCAAGCUUUCAUUCCCCCCUCCAGCAAGAAAUAUACCAAGUCGUGCAACCACAUGGCACAGAGCAGCAAAUUCUGG